rnacentral:rRNA from 1 species
GACGAACGCUGGCGGCGUGCUUAACACAUGCAAGUCGAACGGAGAGGCCCUGCUUUUGUGGGGUGCUCGAGUGGCGAACGGGUGAGUAACACGUGAGUAACCUGCCCUUGACUUUGGGAUAACUUCAGGAAACUGGGGCUAAUACCGGAUAGGAGCUCCUGCUGCAUGGUGGGGGUUGGAAAGUUUCGGCGGUUGGGGAUGGACUCGCGGCUUAUCAGCUUGUUGGUGGGGUAGUGGCUUACCAAGGCUUUGACGGGUAGCCGGCCUGAGAGGGUGAACGGCGACAUUGGGACUGAGAUACGGCCCAGACUCCAACGGGAGGCAGCAGUGGGGAAUAUUGCACAAUGGGCGGAAGCCUGAUGAAGCAACGCCGCGUGCGGGAUGACGGCCUUCGGGUUGUAAACCGCUUUCGCCUGUGACGAAGCGUGAGUGACGGUAAUGGGUAAAGAAGCACCGGCUAACUACGUG